UUAAUAACCCUCACAAAGUUCAAGUACAUAGAUAGUAAAAAUAACCCUACAAUUUGGCUUGAGUCAUAAGGAAUUCAAUAUGAAGUAAGGGCAUGUUUGGAAGUGUGAGAAGCACAGCUGAUUGGUGGAAUGGCUCCUUGUGUUAUAAGAUUAAAAUGGGAAAGAUUUGAAAAAGACACCACACCAAGAGAAAAAAUGUAAUAAACAUGAUUGGCCACCAAAGACUAAAAAAUUUGUAAAAAAAAAAAUGCCCCUACUAAAAUAGUGACCUUAUAACUUCACCCUUUGUGUAAGCAAAAUAAAACACCUCAAUACAAACAAAACCCAUUAUUUUUUUAAUUCUUCUUCUCAUUCUUCUUGUAUUAUUAUUAUUAUUAAUAAUAAUAUUAGUAUCUUCUUCUUCUUCUAUUUUCCAUAGCACAUUCACCUACAUGAGAGCCACAUCCAUUUGUCCAAAUGGGGUGGCUCCAAUCCCUCUUCUCUCCAUUGAGGAAGCUCUGGUUUCGUCUCCACUCUGCUCCAAAGAAAAGAAGAGGGAUUUAUAUUCUAUACGAAGAUGUGAAGUCGUGCCCCUAUGAAGAUGUUCAUGUUUUAUGGUCGAUACUAGUGGAAUCACAUGCUCUGCCGACGAAAGCUUGAAGCCUUCAAAUGCAGAGAUUCUCUGGCCAUCCAUCAUGUACAUACAUUUAUUUAUAUAUCUCUUAUUAUAUAUAAAUAUAUACGUAAAAAUAUUAUAUAAUAUAUAAAAAGGUUUUUGUGCUUAUUUUUUCAAUGACUACUUCUCUUUGAGUUCUCUUGUGAUUGUUAGUGAGGUUUGUUUUUUAAUCUUACACUUUCACAUGAUCAAAUGUUGAGAUGAAACUUCAGUUACCAAAAGCAAAGAAGAAAGGCAUUAUACA